rnacentral:tRNA from 1 species
UUAUUAAUAGUUAAGCAAAUAACACUAAAAUGCAAUUUUAGAAUUGAUGUCAAUCUUGAUAAA